rnacentral:tRNA from 1 species
GGCUCAGUUGGUAGUGCAUCCCGACAUUUAAUGUCGGGAAGGUCGCCGGUUCAAAUCCGGUGAGAG